AAUGCUUGACGAAGCCCGUGAAUUCCUCCCCACGCGUCGCGCUUUCUUUCCGCUUCCUAAGGUUUGGCAAGCGCAGUGCUAUACCCGCCGCGAAACCGUCAAGAUGGACAGUGUUCAAAGUCAAUAUAUGCGUAUCAAUCAAAUGCUGAUGUGCUUCAUCGGCCAGUGGCCGUAUCAGGAGAAUUGGGAAAAAUUACUCAUCCAAUUCGUCUUCGUGCCCGCGGUUUUCUCUCAAGCAGUUAUUCAGGGUGGUGGCAUGCUCACUGCUUGGUUCGCGGACGACAUUGACGCGUUUAUGGAGAGUUCCUCGCCUUUUGUAAUUAGUUUAAUGUGCAUCUGUAAACAUAUUAAUUAUACGUACAACCAUGACCAGAUGAAGAGGCUUGCCUUUACAAUGGCGAAAGAUUGGAAUAUCUAUUCUAAGCUCAGCCACGAGUAUGACAUUCUUUGUAGGAAUUACGCGACGGGUAGGAAAGUCACGAUUGCUUACGCAGUCUCUCUAUAUGGCUCGAUGACUCCCUUUUUGGUUGUACCCGUGGUAAUAAACACAGCCAGCUACAUGGGGCUGUACAACAUUUCCGAUAAGCCUCUGAUGUUUCGCACGGAAUACUUCAUAGACUCGGAAAAGUAUUACUACCCGUUGCUGGUGCACUCGUACAUCGGCACCCUCGGAUUCGUCACGAUCGUCGUGGCGAUCGACUCGAUGUUGGUGUUUCACGUUCAGCAUGAAUGUGGAAUGUGCGAGAUCCUAGGAUACCGGCUAGCACGGAUUGUUGAAGGAGAUACUUUAGACAUAAAUUUGUAUCAAAGUAAGGAGGCUGCGUCGUACAUAUAUAUUAAGAAUUGUGUGGUCAUGCACAGUCACAUAAUAGAAUAUGCUAAGCGUAUCGAGAUUGCGAAUACGACGUCGUAUUUUUUUCAACUAGGUUUCAAUAUGAUGGGUAUGACGUUCACAAUAUUCCAGGCAGUGGUAAAGUUGGACGAUCCAAACGAAGCCUUGCGAUACGCGUCGUUCACGGUGUGUCUGUUAUCCGUUCUCUUCCUCGAAAGCUGGCCGGGUCAGCAAUUAUCGGAUUAUACUGACAAAAUUUUCGCGUACACAACCAACGGCAGAUGGUAUCAGUCUUCGCUGAGAGUGAGAAGAGUGAUCCACUUUAUGCUGUUAAGGAGUUAUGUGCCAAUCAAGAUAACCGCGGGCAAACUGUACACUUUAAACCUGGCAAAUUUUUCUUCAGUUGUACGCACGUCGUUUUCUUACUUCACUGUCCUCUGUUCUAUGCAAUGAGUGAGACUUGCUACAGCUCAAAGCUAUUAUCGAUGACAACAGCUACAAACAACUGUUUUGCCUUUACCACCCUUUUCACGACGACUUAUGAGUAACAGUGACGAUGAUAGAUGACUACGGCGACUUGUAAGAACUGUUUUGCUGGCAACGUAGAAAAAUCUUGCGGAGUAAAUUUUUUUAUAGCACGCGUUAAUUUGCUGUUAAACCAGCAAUCUGUCCGUUGCAAAUAAACGGUUAUGUUACUACACAAAUAUUGCUGGCAGAACGUCAGUACAAGAAUAAGCAAAACGUGGAAGAAUAGAAAAAAGGUGUAGAAUAAAAUUGCAUACGUAAAAUAAUUUACAAAUCUAA